rnacentral:rRNA from 1 species
AUUGAACGCUGGCGGCAGGCCUAACACAUGCAAGUCGAGCGGUGCGGCGGACGGGCGAGUAAUACCCAGGAAUUUGCCUGGUUGCGGGGGAUAAUGUUCGGAAACGGACCCUAAUACCGCAUACUAUCAGACGAGUCUAGGUCGGAUUAGCUAGUUGGUGCGGUAAUGGCUCACCAAGGCUACGAUCCGUAACUGGUCCGGGAGGAGGAUCAGUCACACUGGAACUGAGACAAGGUCCAGACUCCUACGGGAGGCAGCAGUGGGGAAUAUUGGGCAAUGGGCGAAAGCCUGAAUCAGCCAUGCCGCGUGUGUGAAGAAGGUCUUCGGAUUGUAAAGCAAUUUAAGUGGUGAGGCGUUACCAAGAGAAUAAGCACCGGCUAACUCUGUGCCAGCAGCCGCGGUAAUAC